GCAUCGGUGGUGUACGGCGCACACUUCCUUUAAAUUCGGGGGAAACUUCAAUAACAGAAAGUUGAACGAAGAGAACGGGGUUCGACUCCCUGCCGAUGCC